AUGCUGGAGGUAUCAGAAGUGCGAAUGCUGACAUAAGUAACGAUAAAGCGGGUGAAAAGCCCGCUCGCCGGAAGACCAAGGGUUCCUGUCCAACGUUAAUCGGGGCAGGGUGAGUCGACCCCUAAGGCGAGGCCGAAAGGCGUAGUCGAUGGGAAACAGGUUAAUAUUCCUGUACUUGGUGUUACUGCGAAGGGGGGACGGAGAAGGCUAUGUUGGCCGGGCGACGGUUGUCCCGGUUUAAGCGUGUAGGCUGGUUUUCCAGGCAAAUCCGGAAAAUCAAGGCUGAGGCGUGAUGACGAGGCACUACGGUGCUGAAGCAACAAAUGCCCUGCUUCCAGGAAAAGCCUCUAAGCAUCAGGUAACAUCAAAUCGUACCCCAAACCGACACAGGUGGUCAGGUAGAGAAUACCAAGGCGCUUGAGAGAACUCGGGUGAAGGAACUAGGCAAAAUGGUGCCGUAACUUCGGGAGAAGGCACGCUGAUAUGUAGGUGAAGUCCCUCGCGGAUGGAGCUGAAAUCAGUCGAAGAUACCAGCUGGCUGCAACUGUUUAUUAAAAACACAGCACUGUGCAAACACGAAAGUGGACGUAUACGGUGUGACGCCUGCCCGGUGCCGGAAGGUUAAUUGAUGGGGUUAGCGCAAGCGAAGCUCUUGAUCGAAGCCCCGGUAAACGGCGGCCGUAACUAUAACGGUCCUAAGGUAGCGAAAUUCCUUGUCGGGUAAGUUCCGACCUGCACGAAUGGCGUAAUGAUGGCCAGGCUGUCUCCACCCGAGACUCAGUGAAAUUGAACUCGCUGUGAAGAUGCAGUGUACCCGCGGCAAGACGGAAAGACCCCGUGAACCUUUACUAUAGCUUGACACUGAACAUUGAGCCUUGAUGUGUAGGAUAGGUGGGAGGCUUUGAAGUGUGGACGCCAGUCUGCAUGGAGCCGACCUUGAAAUACCACCCUUUAAUGUUUGAUGUUCUAACGUUGACCCGUGAUCCGGGUUGCGGACAGUGUCUGGUGGGUAGUUUGACUGGGGCGGUCUCCUCCUAAAGAGUAACGGAGGAGCACGAAGGUUGGCUAAUCCUGGUCGGACAUCAGGAGGUUAGUGCAAUGGCAUAAGCCAGCUUGACUGCGAGCGUGACGGCGCGAGCAGGUGCGAAAGCAGGUCAUAGUGAUCCGGUGGUUCUGAAUGGAAGGGCCAUCGCUCAACGGAUAAAAGGUACUCCGGGGAUAACAGGCUGAUACCGCCCAAGAGUUCAUAUCGACGGCGGUGUUUGGCACCUCGAUGUCGGCUCAUCACAUCCUGGGGCUGAAGUAGGUCCCAAGGGUAUGGCUGUUCGCCAUUUAAAGUGGUACGCGAGCUGGGUUUAGAACGUCGUGAGACAGUUCGGUCCCUAUCUGCCGUGGGCGCUGGAGAACUGAGGGGGGCUGCUCCUAGUACGAGAGGACCGGAGUGGACGCAUCACUGGUGUUCGGGUUGUCAUGCCAAUGGCACUGCCCGGUAGCUAAAUGCGGAAGAGAUAAGUGCUGAAAGCAUCUAAGCACGAAACUUGCCCCGAGAUGAGUUCUCCCUGACUCCUUGA
rnacentral:rRNA from 1 species